rnacentral:rRNA from 1 species
AAGACCUUGCGCUUUUGGAGCGGCCGAUGUCUGAUUAGCUAGUUGGUAGGGUAAUGGCCUACCAAAGCUUCGAUCAGUAGCUGGUCUGAGAGGACGACCAGCCACACUGGGACUGAGACACGGCCCAGACUCCUACGGGAGGCAGCAGUGGGGAAUUUUGGACAAUGGGCGCAAGCCUGAUCCAGCCAUGCCGCGUGAGUGAAGAAGGCCUUCGGGUUGUAAAGCUCUUUCAGCCGGGAAGAAAAGGCUACGACGAAUAAUCGUAGCUCAUGACGGUACCGGAAGAAGAAGCACCGGCUAACUACGUGCCAGCAGCCGCGGUAAUACGUAGGGUGCGAGCGUUAAUCGGAAUUACUGGGCGUAAAGGGUGCGCAGGCGGUUUUGUAAGUCAGAUGUGAAKUCCCCGGGCUUAACCUGGGAACU